UGCCGCGUGGGUCGGGAUGAAGCCGGCGCGCUCCAGGCUCUCUUUGAGUAUGGUCCGCGCUAUGCGCGCGUUCUGCGCCCGGCGCGGUUG
rnacentral:tRNA from 1 species